rnacentral:lncRNA from 1 species
UUCCACUAUCUUCCCUUCGGACAUCAACUGUCAACAAAAACCAUGUACAAAAGUUGUGAAUCUCACUUAGAAGAACAUAUUGCCUACACAAUAAUUGUAGUAGAGAAAGCAACAGUAGUUAAAUUCCUAACCAAGAUAGUAUCAAAUGCUGGAAGGAAGUCAACUUGGUGAGUCACAAGUAAGACGGUCUUCCCGGACAGAGCUCCCAUGACAUAGUCCUGGCCAUAGUAAGUCCACAUUAGUUUUUACUUUAGAAAAUUCAAAUGCCAAGAAAAUAAUAAAAAUAAGAACAAUAACAACAAUAGCAGUUAGUUGAGAAUUGUGAUCACAUUAAAUAAAUUGGUUGCUGUAUGUGCAUCAACGGCGCUGAAAGGAUCAUCCAAGAGGUAAACAUCUGCAUCUUGAUAUAGUGCACGAGCAAGUUGAACCCGUUGCUUCUGCCCGCCGCUGAGAUUAACACCCCUCUCUCCUAUUAUGGUGUGAUCACCAAAUGGAAGCAUCUCGAGAUCCUUUACUAGCGAACACUUUUCAAGUACUUCCUGGUAUCUAUGUCGAUCCAUGUUGGACCCAAAGAGAAUAUUUUCUUGUAUAGUCCCCGUUCGGAUCCAUGCUGUCUGAGAAACAUAAGCAAUCUUUCCAUUUACUUGAACCUGGAAAAAUUAAAGAGACACGGUUAAAGCCUUCUAGUAGCACUUAAAUACUUCUUUUGGGAAAAUUGUUAAACAUUUAGCAAACUAUAUGUGUGUGUAGAUGAGAGAACAAGCAAUUUAUGUGUUCAUUGUUGCAUUAUGUUACUUUUCACCACUAGAAAAACCAAAGCUGGAAACAUAGAUUGAUGGUUCACUAUAAUUCGUGGUUUAAGAGGAAAGGAAGAAGUGAAAUGAAGACCUACUAUGCCAUUGACAAUUGGAAGCUCUCCAAGAAUACUGCCUAUAAGGGUUGAUUUACCGGAGCCAACCUCUCCACAUACCGCUAUCUUCUCUCCAGGUUUAACCACCAAAUUUAUGUUAGUUAGAGUGGGCUUUAAAGGACUAGCAUCCCAAGAAAUACUGGUGGAAUUGAUAAAUAUGGAAUGCUCAAGUUCCUUUGUUUCACACUUUUGCUUUAUAUGUCUAUUCUGCAACUCAGGUGCCUCGAGAAACUUCACAAUUCGAGUGAACGCAACGUUGGCCUCAAUAAACGCUGAAACAACAUCAGGGAUCAACCUGAUGGGCUCCUGAAUAAGUCGUAAAGUCGCGAGAAACGUGAAGACACUGCUUGCAUUGAGAGGAAUUCCAAGGACAUAGCAUGUCCAGAAAGAAAUAGCCGCUACUAUGAUUGGGGACGACCAAAAUAUAACAAGAUUGUAACCUCUUUGUAACAGAACUGCCGAUAAAUUGUUCAAUUCUUCUUUCCGUAACCUUUCUACAACGUUCUUGAAAUGUGUCUCCCAAGCAUACAACUUCAAAACCUUCAUGUUUGCUAGUGCCUCUGCAAUAGCCUUCAGCCUCCUGUCUUGUGACACCAGGAGCUUUGUUAGGUGCUUGUGCUGUAAAUUACCCAUCGGAUAAUUUCCAAGCACAGUCAAUGUAAUCACUAAGACUGCUGCAAUAGUUGCCAGCCCCACAGAAUAGUAAAGGAUCACAAGUGCAAGACAUAUCUGAAGGCCUGUUGUCCAUAUCUGGUGAAACCAAUAUGGAAACUCACCUAUUCUAUAGGCAUCCACCGUGACAUAAUUUGUUAUCUCUCCGGGAGAAUGAGUCAGUUUAGCAGCAUUUGAGAGCCUGAGUUGCUUCUGAUAGAUAGCUGCAGAUAGCGAGGAUCUUACCUGGAGUCCUAUUAUUCUACUUCGAAAGUACCAUUGCCUCUCCAACAGUGACUCUAAGCAUUUUGCAAUGAAUAGCCCCACGGUCAGGGUGUAUCCCUCAUACUUAAAUGUUUCUUUUCCUUGAGCAACCCGAAUGAAAGCUUUUAGAAGCAACGGACCAGUAGCAACUGCAAGAACCUUGACCAAUGCAAAGAAACCGGACAUUAGAAUACCUCUCCGCUGCCAGAAAAAUAUUGUGGACAAAAUAGGAGGAUUCGGUGUUCCUUUCUCCUUCCUUUUGCUUAGCUCCUCCAUAAACACCGAGUAACAUGUCUCUGCUCGAUCCACUUUCCGUAGCUUUGGUAUAUCUUUGUCCUCGAGAAUUUUCCCCUUACCUUUCUUCAACAAUGGAUUCAACCACCAAAAUGACAUUCUGCUAAAAAAUCCAGCCUUUACAAAAGGAGUUACACUGUCAUCCGUGUCGACUUCACUAUCAGUAUCAAUUCUUCGUCAAGUAAAGGUGCAUAGAGUGCAUCAGAUCUGGUAGUGGUUACAGUUUCUGCAUAAGUUUGUGGUCGAAAAGCACAGAAGAGCAUUAGAAUUGCUCCGGUAAAAGAUAAAAUAUCCAGCACACGCUUAACUGAUGCUACUUUGUCCCCAAUAGCUUCCCAAAGAUAUGAAAUGCAGAGAAAUCCAGCAAACAAAAAGGAAAUUACAGAACAAAGCUUUACUGUUGUGAUAUGCGAACUCUGUUGCCACCGGUGGCUCACAGUGCACCAAGCAACAACCAUGUGAACCCAUGAAAUAACAAAACUAGCCACCAAUGCAGAGGUAUCAAGCUCUGAUCUGACCUUAAUUUCUUUUGAAUUGUCCAAAACCCCAAACCCACAUAGGCCAAACCCACCCCACCAUUGAAAAUGGCAGAGGAAAUUGGCAAUGCCAUAUAACGUUUAGAGCGUGGCGAGGCUGCCACCUUGUUGGGUGAUGAUCUAAAGAUGACCAUAAACAAGCAGGUGAUAAAGAUCAGGAUAUCAACUGAAAUGACCAAAACAUGGUUGAUGCAUGAGAAGGGAUUGAUAAUUUCCAUAAAGCCAGAUAUGUCUGAAUUUCGACGGAAAACAGUCCAAGAACCCUCCUCGAUUCUGUAUUCCUUUGCGUUUAUGAUGAUGCAACUCUGAAACAAUAAAUUAAGAGAGAGAGAGAGAGAGAGAGAGAGAGAGAUGUACAUGAGAAAUCGGUUUUCUAAGCUCAGUAAGUAGAAAUGUUGUUAGCGCAGCAUAGCCAUCAACAAUAAGUAGAAAUGAAAUAAGUACCAAACCAUUUUAUGAACUCCUAAAUUGAAUCAAUUUAAGACUGCAUGGUGUACUAAAUGAUACUGUCAGGUUUUCAGGAUUUUUUUCUACUAUCAAAUUCUGCUACAAUUAUAAAAUAUACUUUUGAAUUAUGCAGUAACUUUGUCUAAUUCCUUUUGAUUCUCCAAUAAUAAUGCAUUUUCUGGUAUCCGACUAAUCCUAAUAAGAUCAAGGGCAAUUAGAAUUUCAAAAUGAAAAAUCAUUUGAUUUUUUAAUUUUUUGUAAACCAAACGGCAACGUAGAUUACAACAUCCAAACAUAAGUAAAUGAGAGAGAGAGUAUCACACAAUUAGCAAGAGUCUAAAACUAUCAUAAAUAGUGCAUGGAAAAACUUCAUAUGAAGUACCUAUCUUUCAGGGGGAAACAGCAAAAAUCUAGAGACCUGGAAUCAUUUAGAAAAUAGGAAAGUUAACACAAAGAUAUAAAUGAUUUCAUGCACUUGGUUUUCUUGCUUUUCUCUUCUUUAUAUUUUUUCUGAUAUAAAACUGUACCCCCACAUGCUUACUUUUUUACAUUAGAAAUUAGAAAUUAUCAUCUGUCUGCAUCAAGGGCUAGACCAACCUCUGUUGUAUCACUCAUGCAAGAAAAAAAUCUAGCUCUCUCUAUAAUGAUUAGUCAUAGCUGAUUGUUGCAAUGGUAUCAUGUAUUUUCUCCACGGUUUAGGGUUUAAGCUUUAUCUUAAAGUUGGCAAGUUGUGGGCGUACCUUGAGCUGACAUUGAUGAUACGAAUCGUUCAUAUUGUAGGACUCGAUGAGACAAUCGUCCAUGCAUUAAAUCAGGUUGAUAGGCAGUGGUAUUCACAUGAUUGGAUCAGGAUACAAAAUAUAAGUUUUAGAAUACCCGUCUAUUUUCUUAAGACCAAUAUUUAUUUGAUCACGUGACGACUAAUCUCUGAUUUUGAUUUAUUACAUGGAUAAUCUUCUCAGUUUGCUUUACAUUUUACAUGAUGAAGGGUUCAUAUCACUGAAGUGAGUUCAAAGUAGACACAUAUUCCACCAACUUUACUCUAGAGAAGUCGGAUCUUAUGUAUUCUAAAAUGGAUUGACAUAAAUCUCACCUGACAAACUCACUUUAGGUUGUAUUUGGAUCAAGGAUUUGGUGAGAAAAAAAGAAAUAAAAAUGAAAAAGUUAGACGAUUCAACCGUUCGAGACCAUUAAAUCAUCUACCUUUUUUAUUUUUAUUUGUGUUUUGUGUUUUUUUUAGCAAAUAAAAAUGCAUUUGUACUCAAAAUGGGAAAAUUUAAUUUCCAAUGGAAUUCAACCAUUCAAAUGCACACAGAUAUGAGAAAUAGCCAAAAAAAAAAACCGAGUAAGAGUACGUAAGGAUUACCUAAAACCAUCAAGUGUUCUAAUUAAAUCUUUUUGCAAGAAUUUUAUUAUAAAUAAUAAGUCAUCAAGUUUAAACAAGGCCUUAUUUGAAUAGUAGUGCAAAAAAUGAUGAACUUAAAUUAUGAUGUUUUUUGUUUGUCUUCUCAUUGUGGGGCACAGAUCAUUAAAAGUAUCUCUAAUAAGACGAAACAAUGAAAUAGGAGUAAUUAAUAAGAACAACAGUGUCCAACAGGGAGAAAAAUAACUUGGUCAUGUGGUGGACGACUAGUCUUAUAGGUUAAAAACAGUUAUAAGGAUCCAUACAAAAUUCUUCUGAUGGAUCAGGUGACAAACGAAUCAAGCUACUGGAGUUCGAUUCGUUAAAAGCUCAUUUGAGAUCGAUUCGCUUGAUGAACAAAUCAAGUUCGGACAAUAGUUUAACUUUCAAAAUGAUUUUUUAACUAUCUUGAUUUUCGAGUGUUUUCAUCUUUAGUGAUUUUUUUCAUCAUUUGAUCAAAAUUUUAUACUUUUUCUAAUCUUCUUGAUGAGAAGAAUAUGAAAAUGAAAAAAAUUUAUUCAAAUUUAAAAAACAAACUACAAAAAACUAAAAUUACUUUCAGGAUUUCAGCAAUUUUUUUUCUACUAUCAAAUUCUGCAACAAUUAUAACCUAUACGUUUGAAUUCUACAGUAACUUUGUCUAAAUCCUUUUGAUUCUCCAGGAAUAACGCAUUUUACUGUAUCCAACUAAUCCUAAUAAGAUCAAGGGCAAUUAGAUUCUCAGACGGAAAAAUCCUUUGGUUUUUUAAGAUUUUGUAAACCAAGCAGCGAUGUAGAUUACAACAUCCAAAAAUAAAUAAAUGAGACUUUCACAGGAAUUGGUAAGAUUCUAAAACUAUCAUAAAAAAUCAGUUGAUUUCUUAAGUUUUUGUAAACCAAGCAGCGAAGUAGAUUACAACAGUCAAAAAUAAGUAAUUGAGAGAUAAGUAUCACAGAAAUUAGCAAGAGUCUGAAACUAUCAUAACAGUGCAUGGAAAAACUUCAGUAUAAAAUUCUACCCCCACACGGUUGCUUGUUCAAACCUAGAAUCUCACUUUACAUUAUAAAUUAAAAAUUAUAAACUGGCUGCAUCAAGGGCUGGAUCAACCUGUCUUGGAUCACUCAUGCAAGAAAAAAAUCUACCUCUAGAUAAUGACUGCAGAAUUUUGCAAUAGGAUUAUGUAUUUGGAACACACGUUUAGGAUUUACACUUUAUCGUAAAGUUGGAAAGUUUUGGCCUCGCUAAGACAAUCAUCCAUACAAAAAAUCGGGUCGAUCUGGUUUUGGUAUUCACACAACUGGAUCAUUUUUGUUUUGAUAGAAAAUAUAAUUUAUUACAUGGAUAAACUUCUCGGUGUGAAUGUGAUUUAUAAGAUCAAUGGUUCAUAUCACUGAGUGAGUUCAGAGGAGAUUCAUAUCCCAACAAUUUUAUUCUAAAGAAGUCGGAUCUUAUGCAUUCUAGAAUGGAUUCACAUAAAUCUCAGCUGACUUAACAAUCCAAACUCAAUUUAGUGUGUUUUUUUUAACAAAUAAAUUUGCAUUUGUACUCAAAAUGGGAAUUUUUGAUUUCCAAUGGAAUUUUCCCAUUCAAAUGCGCACAGAGAUGAUAAAUAUCCGAAAGGUUUUUCUUUUUUUUUCAUACAUGGCUGAAAAAUGCCCAACAGUCAUUUUGUAAGGAUACACCACAUAUUUUUGGAUGGCUGCAACUGCAAGACUCAUUAAAUUGAAACCACUGAAAAUAAAGUCUUACCAAAUCCAACAUUAGUAAGGAUUAGCUAAACCAUUUAUUGUUCUAAUCAAAAUAAUUUGCAAGUGUUUCAAUAUAAAUAAUAAGUCAUCAAGUUUAAACAGGGCCUUAUUUGAAUAGUAGUGCAAGACAUAAUGUAACAGAGAUGUGACGUUUUUUGUUUGACUCCUUACUGUGAGGAAGAAAUGAUUAAAAGCCUCUCUCUCUAAUAAUAUAAGAAGCGCAAUGGGGUCCUGCAGGGAGAAAAAUAAUUUGGUCACUGUGUUGUGUUGGACAAGAAUCUCCAACUUCUAUAGGUUAAAAACAGUGAUGAGGAUCCAUACAAAAUCCCCAACUCUACUUAAGUUUGAUACCUUAAAAUAUUAUUUGAGAUCUAUUUUUCUUUUAAAGUUGUGAUAUAUUUUUAAAUUUUGUUAAGUUUUCGAAUCAAGUUUGAAUAAUUUAUUAUUUGGCUCUAUAAACUUACAAUGUUUAAAAAAUUUAAUUAAACUCAUCGAAUUAACUCAUGAUUAACUCAAUUAAAAUUUAUUUAAAAUUUAUUCAUUUGUUAGACAAAUUAAACUCAAAUAUAUUUUUAAAAACUCAUCAAACUUUCAAACAAUUUAUUGUUCAAAUAGUAAUAUUAAUCCAUGUAAAGAAGGAAAAUGAUGAAUUAGUGGGACUUACCAGGCAGACAAAACAGACCGACAAACGUGGAACAUUGCACAAUUACAGAAUGACCCUUGCAAUAGUUUGGAAACCCUCCGUCUCCAACGCCGCCCUUUCCAUUUUUGACCCUGAAGUUUUGAUUAUUUUUAAUUUGACUCUAGCUUUACCAAUUUUUUUUUUUAUUUUAUCCAAUUUUUUUUUAAUUUUGUCCCAACUGUAUUUUUUUUUUAUUUUGUCCCUACUCACAUUAACUCAUUUAUCACCAUUUUUUUUUUUUUGAUUUUGUCAUUACUUACAUUAACUCAUUUACCAAUCAUUUUUUUUUUUUAAUUUGCCCCUACUAACUUUUUUAAUCAUCCGAUUUUGUCCCUACUCACAUUAACUCCAUUUAUCACCAUUUUUUUUUUUGAUUUUGUUCAUUACUUACAUUAACUCAUUAGUUACCAUCAUUUUUUUUUUAAUUUUGCCCUACGUAACUUUUUUUUACGUUUUGGGGUUUUUUUUUUUUUUUUUGUUCCCUACUAACAUUAACUCAUUAGAUUAGGUUCUGGUUAAGAUACGUAUUUUGCAAACUCACCCGUGUAUCUUAUAAUAUAAAUGUGAGUGAAUAGUAACUCAAUAUGACACCAAAUUUUUUUUUCAAUUUUUUUCCUCACCACAAUUUUUAUUUUAUUUUGCCUAUCAUGUAAUUUUUUUUUUUUUCAUUUUUGCCCCCCGUAGUAUAAUGUGGGUGAAUAGUAGCUCUUUACCACUUUUUUUACGAUUUUGCCCCUUUUAACUUUUUUAUUAUCAUUUUUUAACUCAUUUAUCACUCAUUUAUCACCAAUUUUUUUCCGUUUUACCCCUUAGAAAUGUGAGUGAAUAGGAGCUUUAUACUACCACAUUUUUUUUCGAUUUAACCCCUUAAUAACUUUUUUUUAACUUAUUUACUAUAAAUUUUUUUUUUUCGAUUUUGUGUCCCUUUUACUACUUAAUACCACCACUUUUUUUUUAUUUUAACCCCUUAAUAACCAAUGACCACCAGUUUUCUUUUCAUUCUACCCCUUAAGUAAUAUUUUUUUUUAUUUGGCCCCUUAGUAAAUUUGAGUGAAUAGUAGCUCAUUUAUCAACUUUUUUUUACGAUUUUGCCCCUUAGUAACUUUUUUACCAUUAGUUUUUUUAACUCAUUUACUAGCAAAACUUUUUUUUCGAUUUUACCCCUUAGUAAAUGUGAGUGAAUAGUAACUCAUCUAUCAACUUUUUUUUUUGAUUUUACCCCUUAGUAACUUUUUUUUAACUCAUUUAUCACAAUUUUUUUUAUUUUGUCCCUUAGUGAAUGUGAGUGAAUAGUAACUCAUUUACAUUAUUUUUUUUUCCGAUUUUGUCGCUUGGUAACUUUGUUAUCACCAUUUUUUUAUAUAAAUGUGAGUGCACAGUAACUUUUACAACCAAUUUUUAUUUUCGAUUUUACAAUUCCUCUAUUUUUUAUUUUUUAUUUUUUAUUUUACCCUUAAAAUUACUCGCUCGUGCAUAGCACGGGCAUACUCCCACUAGUAUAUCUAUCUAUAUAUAUAUAUAUCGGAUAACAAGAUUGUGCCCGGCUAAUGAGCGAAAAGACGAGGCUGAGAAAUGGUUUGAUUGAGUCGGUGGAAGAAUGUAGUGGUUGGGAUACGCUUUGAGUCUUAGAUUUGCUUUACAUCAAGAUUGUAGCCGGCUAAUGAGCGAAGACGAGGCCGAGAAAUGGUUUGGUUGGAGUCGGUGGAAGAAAGAAGUCGUUGGGAUAUGCUUUGACAAUAUUCUGACAUUAACAAUCAUUCAAAUUUCUUAUUCUUCCUCGUGAAUGUUAUGUUUGGCGGGUCCUUAAGCCAACGGCGCACUACGUGGAACCCAAACGUGGUAGGCCGGUCGCUUCCACUCGCUAGCCAGAGUCGGCGUGUGGGUCCAUUCCAUAUCAUUUUGGCCAAAUCUCAUUUUGUAGUUUCUUCAACAAAUAUUAUCAAUUAGCAGUGCCAUCUCUAAAUAAAAAUAAUAAUAUCGGGAACAUAAAAUUUUUAAAUAUUUUUUAAAAAUAAAAGAGAGAAUUAAAAAAAAUUAUGUUAGAAAGAUAAUUUAUUUACAAGGAAAAAUAAUAUGACUCAAUCUAUUUUGUAAUUCCUAAAUGAGAUAAUUAAAUUGUGAGAAAUGAUAGGUACACACCAAAAAAUGGGUGUGUACAAGACACACCUACUUUUUGUAUCUCACAAAUAUAGUGGGGCCCGCUCUAAUUAGGGUUUGUAGCAAACUCUAAUUAAGACGGCCCCACUGUGUAUGUUAGAUAUAAAAGUAGGUGUGUACAAUACACACCCAUUUUGGACUGCGUACCUAUCAUUUUUCUUAAAUUGUUGGAGGGAAUAAAAAAUCAGAUUUCUUCUCAACAUUUAAAUCUUAUUUCAACCUAAUAGAGUACAUUUCAACAGAACACUUCUGGAUCGAAAUCACAUUUUCAUUGCUCCUUAAUAUUACUGUCAUCCAAACACAAAUCUUAGAUUAUCCUGUCCUCUGCAACAAACAAACAAAACCUCUCAAUACACUACUUAGUAAUUUUCAGUACACCUUCCAUCUUUUUCUUCCUUUUUCAUUCACAAAUCCUAACCAUUGUUGUCUUGAGCACCACCAUCGUACCACCUUCUCUUCUUCAUUUCUUCCUCCGUCUAUCUUCUCUUUUCCUAUUCUUUCCUCUAUUGAACCGUGUCGCCAUGAAAACCGCUUGCCCUACGUCCGUCCAUUUCCAAUGUCCAUGUUCAUAUCCAUCACAACACCAUAAAACUUCCACCACCUAACAUUAUGACCUCACCCUUCCGACCACCCUCACCGUCUCCGCUCCCUAAUCUCGAAGCUCCUUUAACCUAGCUCCCUCACUGUUGAGAGGGUCCCCACACUCAAAUUUUACCUUUCACAGAUUUAAUGUAAUAAUUUGCAGAUGGUACAACUUUUUAUAUAGCUGCAGCAAAUCCAUUUGUAGCAUGUGGUGCAAGUGAAACACGUGAAAGUUAAAAUCUAUGCCACUUCUUUUUUUCUUUACAUGUUUUACUUUCACUGCUUGAUUCACUUGCAUUGGACAUGCGAUUCACUUGCACUCGAUCAUGUAAAAAGUUGCACCAUUUGUAAAUCGGGAUGAGAGUGGAGUAGGAGGGUGAGGAAACAAUGUUGGUUGGAUGGUGGCAAUGGGAAUAGUGUUAUAGUAUCCAUGAGGCGAUGGACAUGGUAAUAACAAUAGAGUCUGAAUAACGAUACCUAGGUUUUGUGAAUAUUUGAGGAUGGAAAAAAAAAAGGUUGGUGUGCUUAGAAUUCUUAAGGGGUUUAUCGAGAGAAAUUAUUUUGAGUAGAAUUAUAACUAUUAGGGUUUACACCCUGAAUUAUAUUGGCUCUCAUCCUUGUUGUGUUUAAGUUUAAAGAAUAUUGAAUAGAAUUGUUAAUUCUCAACUAAGUUUUUGUUAAUGAUUGUAAAUUAUUGGAAAUUAAAGAUAUUUGUGAUAAUGUACUUAAAUUUUUUUUUAAACAAGCUUUCUUAUGUAAAAGUUUAUACACAUUUUUUUCAUCUCGAAAGUUAAAAUCCUAAAUCUAUCUCUAUACGGAGAUUGUGACGUGACUGGGUCAUACGUGUAACUUUGUAAAUUAUUCCUUGUCAUUGAUAAAGCUAGUUAUAAGUCUAUAACAACUAGAGACUAGCCAUAACAACUACAGGCUACAGCUUCUUAAAAAUUUAUCCCUAAAACGUGAAUAAGAUAUUGACAAAAUGAUUUGAAAAACAACUUCUGCAAAAUUAAUAUUUCGAACAGCAAUCAAAAGUUUGUAGAACUUGCAGGUACGUCCCCAUGAAACAACAUAACUAUUUGAUCCAUAUAAUAAAUUAUAAGAAAAAAAUGUCCUCAUAGAGCUUGAACUUUGCCUACAAGAAUGCUCAAAAUGAUUCCCAAUUUCUUCUUAUAUAAUCAUUUGAUUUAUUACGUUCUCAAGCUCUUCAAGAUCUUUCAAAGUAGAUCAAUAAUAUAUGAGAGAGAGAGAGAGAUAUUUGAACACCAAAAGUUGUGAAUCACAAAUUGACGAGAGAGAUGAAAUCUAAGGGAGAAAAUAAAAUGAUUUGGGGUAUGUAUCAAUGGGAAAACAAAAUUAUCUGAAGAGGGACAAGUAAAAAAAUAAAAAAAAAUCUAAAAUAAUAUUUUAAAAAAUUGAUGUGGAAAACAUAUUAUAAUGAAAAUUUUAAAAAUUAUUUUGUUCAAAAAAGAAAUAGAAAAAAUAAAAAAAUAUCUGAAAUGUUUUUUCAUAAAAUUUAAAAAUAAAAAAAACUACAGUAACAUGCAGCUAUUGGGAUUCACCGCCACAACACGAAAUUCUAACCACGAAACUACAUCACGAAAAGUUGGCAUAAAAUAUUGUAUUUUUAUUUAUUUAAUGACUAUAAAUCAAUCUUAUUUUGUUUCAAUUUGGAGGGAUGUAACUUGUGAAUACCUUAUUUAUUGUCAAGUGAGGUAAGAUAACUUGGGUUCCAUGGCUGGUUUUUUUAAGAAUUUUAUGAAAACGUUUCGGAUAUUAUAAGAAAAAUAUUGCAGAAUUAAGACCCAAUACUUUCAAUUUGAAUAAUCAAGAAACUAUACUUUCAAUUUCGUGCCAAUUAUUUCUUCCGUCAGUAUUUGUUAAAAAUUUGUAUAGAAAGGGAGUAGAUAGAAACUCACAUGACCAUUUUUAUAGGGUAAUUAUACCACCAUUAGUCCAUGUAGUUUGACCACAAUUUUUAUUUUGGUCUCUAAAAAUGGCUAUGUGAGCUUCUAUUUACUUAUUUCUAUAUAAACUGCUAAUAAGUAUUGACGGAUGAGCUAUAUUGAAAUCAAAUUUAAACUACAAGAUUUUAAUUGUUUAGAUUGGAACUAUAGGGACUAAAAUAACACUUUGGUCAACUGGAGGGACCAAUGGUGAAAUUACCUUAUUCUUUCCUGUUUUUUACUGACUAAAAAACCAGUUCUAUUAACUUUAUUUUUUUUUUCCGUUCAAUAAGGUGAAUGCAUAUAAUGCUUCCAACUUUGAAUUGCUUUUAAGUAUGGGCAAGAUGUUAGUUUCUUUAUGCAAGUUGACUUUCAGUCUUUUAUUAAUUAUUAUUAUAUCCGUAGUCUCCCAAGUCUUAGAGUGAGAGAGAGAAAGCCGAGAGCGAGAGACAGGGCCCAUCGGCCAAUCUCUUCCCGCUGGCCAAACGAACCACCACUCCGAUCUCCUCUCUUCACCCACACUCUCCAACACCUUUUCACCUCACCAGCAUAGCCGCCACCUCCUCCUUCCAUCGCACCCACGCACACAGUGGAGGUCCCGAGGGGGCGGGCGGGGAUAUGAUCCCCCUAACAUUUGAAAAAAAAAAAAAAAAAUUUAAUUUUUUUAUAUAUUUUUUAUUAAUUUUGUUCGCUCUCUAAAUGUUUUUACGAAAUAUCCAUUGAAAAUGUAUAAUUUGCCCCCUCAACAAAAUUCCUGUGCCCGCCGCUGCACGCAAGCACGCGGCGACCAACACGACGAGCCCAUCCACCUCCGACCACCAUUCAACCUCCAUCCACCACCAUCGUGUCCGCCUCAUCCUCAGGAGUCUCUCGGUAUCUUCUGCGACGUCGAUACAUGCAAGCGAGCCUUCUAGGUGCCUCCAGCAGACUCUGUGAAGUUUCCUUUCCGCCACUCAGAUCAGCCACACUGCCUCCCUCGGACGCCCCAACCACGUUUUACCUCCGUGAGCAAACCUCCAUUUUUCCGACUAUUUCAUUGGACACCUGAACACAUGCACCAACACAUUUUAUAGCUAUUCUAGUUACAUUUUUAAGCUAGAAUAUGGUCAGAGCUCCGGGUGAGCUUCCGGUCAAUUUUUUUUCCGGUGUGAUGAACGAAGUCCGGUUUGCCAUUUUUGGUUCCCGGUAGCUCGUUUUAGGCAUGCAUGGCCAUACCGAAGCUCAAAUAUUUUAUUUAGAUCUGUUUAGUAUCGUUUUUAAUAUUUUCAUGUGAUUGGGUCAGGUUUGGGGCGGAGCAGAAUUAAGGGUAAGGGGGCUAAAGUAUAAAAAAAAAAAUUAGUGUACAAUUUGUAAAUUUUUAGAAGUGAGGGGUACUGCCCCUGUUCCCGAACGUUCUGGGCAAUUCCGAACUGAUUUGAAUGCAAAUCUAUGAGUUCCGAUAUACGUUACUUGAAAUUUGGUCUUUGGUAAAAAUAAUAAUUCUGGGAUGUUAAAAGAAGCAAAAAAAUGAAUCUGAAAUGCAAAAACGAAGGCCACGUAUGUUUUACAUAAAAAUGCAUAAAUUACAUGUGUCCCUAAACCUUUCAUAAAAUUAGGUAAACCCACAAGAGAAUUGUUCAGCAUGCUACUUUUUUGUUUAUGUUUUAGAGUUGUAUGAGGUUAUUGUGUUGGAUUUGGAUUUGUGACAUGGUGUUUUGUUUAUAUUAUGUAAUUAGUUUUAGUAAAAUUGCAUAACUGUAACCAAAAUCGAUGUCUAAUAAAAUUCGGCCAGGGAUAUCUAUUUUAAAAAUGAGAAUGAGUUUGAGUAUGAUUUUUGUGUAGUUUUGAAUAUCUAAUUGGGGUGUGAGACACCCAUUAAUUAUUGAUGCAAUCCUUUGAGGGUCCGAACGCUGGGAUGGAAAAACAUAUCAAUAGGUAAGAAGUUCCUAGGUGGAAAUGUAUGUUGAGAUUUGAUAUCAAUGUCACUUUAUUGGGGUCGCUCGUGACAUGGCAACCUUACUAGAUAUGGCAGCGUCAUACAAUUAUAUAUAUUGUUCACUGAGAGAAUAUGGAUCUAGUUGGUAUUUUGUUUAAUCAUACCAUCGGCAACCAUGUUAUAUUAUCAUUGGCUAUGUUUAACUUCUCGGUUUUACAAAAGAUUAAAUUGGAUUUAUUUUUUGAAAUAUUUGCAUCUAGUUUAAGUUUACAGCAUUAAGAAUCCAUGCUAAACUAACAACUUUUGUAUACUUAACUUACACGAGUUUUAUUUUAUGAAAAUAUUUUAAACCCUUUUUAAAUGAUGAGAUGUGAGUCGAGGCGAAUAUUUGUUUUGUGGAGUUUUUACUAGUUUUGUUUAAAUCUUAGUUAAUAUCUCUUUCGUUCCUUUUUUGGGUUGUAAAUACUAAUCUGGAAACUUAGUUUACUUAUGUUGUUCUGGUUGUAAUAUCCAGCUCAUUGUACUUUACUUUUGGGUCUGUUCUAAACUACUUUUUUGUGACGGAUUAUGGAUGAUGAUUGUAUAUAUUUGGUUAUCGACUUUUGAACCUUGGUGAGUUGAAUUACGUUUCUUAGUAUUACACAUUUAGUAGCUUUAGAGAUUAUUUGAACGUAUAACAUGCACUCUUUUAUUAUUAUUACUAUUUAUAAAUCAAAUUGUGUGCCAAAAUCGGAUAGUUUAGGCAUGACAAGGGUGUCAUUCACUAGCCGAUGAUGACCCAUUUUUUGUAGCUCAAGUUUAGGCCGUCAUAAAAACAUCAAAUCCACACACACCCAAAAAAAUUAUUUUUCUUUUGUAAAAAGAUACCAAAAUAAACUUAAUACAAACAAACCUUAAACUUAUCUUUCAUUUUCUAUUUAUUAUUAAUUUAUAAAUUCAUGCAUAUUUAUUAAAUUUUUAAAUCGUUGUAAUUUUUCCUAAUCUAAUCUCUUAUUUUUUUAUUUUGGUUUAUUUAUUAUGGUUGUAUUUAUUUUUAUGAAUGUUGCGUAACUUGCGUUGUGAAUUAUAGCCGGUUCUUGUAACUGACUACUAAUCAUUAAGACCUGCAAAAGGCUCCCACCUACCUACCUAUAUCUCUCUCUAGAUUACCUACCUCUCUCUCUAGGUUGUUGGGUUCUCACUCGCGGAAACCUUGCUAUAUCUUCCCAAUGUCCAGAUUCAAACCUCUCAUGACUUCUCUUUCUGGUUUGAUGGCAGGACAUGCGCUCUCUCGGGUGCUUGGGGUUGAGGGCAGCAGCACACAAUAGAUGGAUUGCCAUACUUGUACUCUUUGGGUAAGGUACUAUGUCUCCUUCCCUCUCACCAGUACUUAUUUACUACUUACUUACUGUGUGGUGGGCCGGAUUUCAAUCGCCUUCCAUACGAAUUAUUACGGCCGCCGACGGUCCGUCCUUUCUCCUCUUCUGUUUUCGAAUUCGUUAUUAAUCUCACAUUCUUCUUUCCCUUAUCUCGUUUGGGUAGUGUUUCUCUCUAGUCUCUCUUUCUUCUUCAACGAAUCAAAUUCUGUCCUAAUUUGGUUUGGUGAAGAGAGGUCAGGACGCCCUCGAUGCAAAACGGUCCCCCCCCCCCCCCCCCCCCCCCCCCCCCCACCCCCCUCUCUCUCCUCCUCAAUUCUUGGGUGGGUUGGCCGUAUUUUCAAAUCGCCUUCCAUCGAUUGGUUAUCGGCCGCGCCUCGUCCUUCCCUCCUGUUUCGAUUCGCUUAUUAUCUCACAUUCCGACGAGUCUUCUUUCCCUAUCUCGUUUGGGGCACGUGUUCUCUCUAUUCCCUCUUUUUUUUCUCUCGUCGAAAUCAAAUUCUGUCCUAAUUUGGUGUUUGGGGAAAGAGAGGCCGUACUCCGACUGACAACGUCCCCCCCCCCCCCCCCUCUCGAUUCUUGGUGGGUUGCCGGAGUUUCAAUCGCCUUCCAUCGAUAGUUACGGCCGCUGACGUCGUCUUCUCUCCUCUGUUUCGAAUUCCGCUAUUAUCUCACCUUCUUCUUUCCAUGUCUCGUUUGGGGUUGUUCUCUCUAUUCGCUUUCUUCUUCAUCGAAAUCAAUUCUGUCUAAUUUUGGUGUCGGUGGAAGAGAGCAGUACCUCCGACUGCAAAACGCUCCCCACCCCCCCCCCCCCCCCCCCCCUCUCUCGCUCUCUCAAUCUUGGGUGGUUGGCCGGAGUUUCAAUCGCCUUCCAUCGAUUAGUCGAUGGCCUCUUCUUUCUCUGUUUCAAUCGCCUUCCAUCGAUUAGCAAUGUAUUAUGCCACAAACCCACAAGCCCAGAGAAAUCCUCUUUGACUGGGGUAAAGAUGAAAACUAUCUAUAACUUUGGACAAUCUUUAAUCCUUUUUUUAUGUAAAAUUUAAUGGGUUGUUUUCUUUUGUAUUUAGUCACUUAAUUACGUUUAAUCUUUUGUAUAUUUUGAUUGUGGCUGAUCUUUAAUGCUGCCUCUUGAAUUUCGACUAGAAUGUUGCAUUAUCUAUUACAUGGAAUGUUCAGGCAAAUUAUGCUUGUAGCUCUUCCUGGUUGGGGCUUAUGAUCAGGUGCGUGUCCUUAUAUAUGCAAUCAUUCAUAUGAUGAUUUUUUUUCAAAGACUAUAUUGGUUUUGAUUUUCAAAUUUGUUUGGGUUUGAUUGAUUGUUUGUUUAUUGCUAUUAAAGUGAUAUUUGUUUGUCAAAUUUAUAACUCAGCGGACGGUAAAUAAGUAAAGGGGAUUGCUAGUGAACUGGGCUUUCGUCUCUGAAAACAACACACGUCUCAGGAAAAUAUGGAGAAAUGAAAACAAUUACUGACAUACACUUUCAGUGUUUUAUAAAACUGGGAUGUGUGUGUUAAGAAAUUCAAAACAAGUUUUGUAGAAACAAUUUCGGAAAUAAACAAUUUUCCAGUUUUUUAGAAAAUAAAAUCGAAAACGAAAACAAUAACAAUAUGAACUACAUACAGAUUUUGGCUUGGUAUCUCUGCCUUCUGAAGAUGCUCCACUUCUGCUACACCUUCCAUCUAAUCAUUCUGGCAUAGCAAAUGAAAUUGCAACAAUUAUUAAAUCACCAAUCUUAUUUGCGUAUCUUUUCGUAAUUUAUUGGUAAAUUUUGUUUCUCAUUUUAUCAGCAACCUCGUAACUGAUUUGCAGUUGGGGACGUUGUGUGGAGUGAGGUUUAUGGCUACCAGGCAGCCCAUAUGGAACAAAAUGUUACAAGUGAUGAGACACGUAGACCCUUCAUAAUUCCUUCAUGUGCAUUUGAAAAACCUCAAUAUUGCUUUUGGCUCCAACACACUUUCAGAUAUUGCUUUCACUUUUUCAUGUUGGUACCAAAAUGAAGUUGCUGACCGUUUCAGACUUUCCAGAGAACAUUAACUUCUUGGAAUCUUAUUUUUACACUAAAGCAGUCAACUGGGUUCUUAUUAUGUUUUGAACAAAGUUUAUAAGCUCCUGGCAUGCAUGGCUGUCCUCUAAUUAGUGUUAUAUUUUAAUCAGCUGAUAUUUUUAGUUAAAUGUAACAUCAUGUGUCCGUAUUUGCCAUUUGCCUAACCAUUAUCUUCUGCGAAAUGAUUGAAAUAGCUUAGUUGUACCUUUCCAGUCCAUUGCAAGCUGAUGUUAGUUUUCUGUUGAGAAUGGCUACUAAAAAUUGCUAAAAAUGUUUGUAAAGCUGUUCACAUUACUAAGUUACCUAUAUAGUUUGGCAACUUCCCCACAACUUUGUGUUGUACAACCUACCUAGUAAAGUAUUGACACAGCACAAAUACGCACACCAACAAGCAUUGUCUUUGGCAACACAUUAUAAUUUUAGUGGAAGCAAUGGCCAUAAGCUGGGGGGCAACCUGCAAAGGACAGUCACUGCGAAAAAGAGAUCUCCCACUAAACAAAGGAGAGAGUCUGUGGCGGGAUGGGGUGGGACUCAGUGGAAGGACAAAUCCAGAUGUCUUCUACAGUAAUUUGCUCGAGUGUGUUAACGGCCUAAGUGCGAUAGAAGGCUUUGACUGUGCCCAUUUCCGACGGUUAUUUUCUUCUCGGAGAUUUUUUUUCUUUCAAACACAGGACAUUGGUUUAGAUUUGAUAGCAGAUUCUAAAUAUAGAAAAUUUAUGGAGGAGAUCACCGUCUUACUCAAACAGAAUGGAUGGGUUGCUCCUCACUUCCCAAAGGAUGGACAAUUUCAUGCUUUACAUGCUAACGGACAGGCAAGAAGCAAUCGCCAGAUGGUUGGAAUUACCGAAGAAUAGAAGUAAUGACGGAAAUAGCUAAAGCUAGAUGUGCAUUUGAAUUGGAUCAGCCAUGGGUGGCAUGAAGGUAUGAUGACUUGCUCGGCCAAGGAAUGAAUCAUGACCUUAAUGUUCCUUGUUCAUAUUUGCUUUCAUGUGGUUUCCAUGUGUGAUGAAGAGGCAUCCAAAGAUAAGGGUCAAGCACAUAAAAGACUGUAAUUUCAAAUAGCAUAGUUUUUGAUUCUCAAUUUUUAUGCAAAAAUUAGGAGUGUGGUCGUGUUCUAUGUGUUUUGUUUCCAUUUGGAUCUGGAGAACCAUUGUCAGUAAAGGUGUCCAGUCCAGUGUGGCCUACAUGAGAGCACAAAUGCAGGCUUGAACGGUUGAACCAAAGAACGUCAUCAAGGACAUAAAAACUAUCAACAUACUACUUGAUCAUCACUGGAACCCAAGGUAUUUGAUUUUGGUCUCGCCCAAGCUCGAGUGACGGAAACAUUUUAGGUUUAGUUCAUUCCAUGCUUAAACUUUAGGUUGUAGUGAUUCGAGAUUUCUUGUUCUAGUGGGAUUGUGGGAUAAUGUUUGUCUUUAAUAGGUAAAAUUAAUUAUAACAUACAAUUUUUCUAUUUAUGUAAGCACCAGACGAUGCUUCUACUGGUAUGCUGAAUGAGACAGUGAUGUCUAUAGUUUUGGUGUUAAAUACCCGAACAGCGAAAAACUGGUAUUAAAUUAGUAACUAAAUUAAUCUUAGUUAAUUUUAAAUGCAACUAAUAUUUUGUAAAAAGUUUUAAAUCAAGUGUCAAACGGAGCACGAUAAUACGAAGUAUGGACGUGUGACACGUGGCACCACCAUGUGAGGGGAUUGGUGGGUGUGGCCGUGGUGACGUGCAUGAGAGACCGUGGAAUUAAAUUGAAGCCAUUAAUAUGUUUGUGGAUUCAAUUGAAAUAUUUCAUAACUUUGAGAUAAGUUUAAAGAUAUAUUCGAUAAUGUAAUUACUUAAAGUUUGAGGGGCUGAAACGUAAUUUUGCCACGUAAUUGGGUCGUCAUGGCAGUAGUGUCAUUUUUCAAGUCUUCUUGCUAUUAUGAUCUAUAUAUAAAUUAGCCUAAGAUAAAAGACAAAAGAAAAAACAGAGAAUUAAGAGGAAACGAAAAAGCACACUAUUCUUCAUUUAAACGGUAAAUAAUUUUUUCCUACCCCUCUCCAACCGAACACACAAACUUCUUCUAUACUGCUAUACUUUCCUCAUACCUAUGUUAAUACACAUACAUAACAAAUUAAUACAUAUACUAAACGUUAACACAUAAGAAAAAAAAAUAAAAAAAAACGAGGACAGAAGGAACAGAAAGCUAGAAGAAGAAAGAAAGAGUGAAAAGGAAAACUAAGGGCGGUAUUAGUUUCCGCCGAGGUAAUUUUAAAACUCAUCUCUGUAAUUGUUAAAGCCUUAUUAUGAAUCUCGUAUCUGGUUUAGGUUAAAACCGCUAAAUACCCCGAAAAAAUUAUACUAUACGUAGUUUUUUUAAAUCAAUAGGUGAAUUCGGGAAUUAAUUUUCACUGGAACAAGCCGCGGUAUUUUGAUACUAACUUUUCCAUAAACGAUAUCCGAUAUUACUUGAUUAAAUGCGUUAGAAAAGAUAUGAAAUAUCUAAACUUCAUUACAACAUUUCGUGAAUUCAGGAACUUAAAUGGUCCAAAACGAUCAUGCAAUCUGACUGUCGAAACCGGACGGACUGGUUGAAACAGAAGUUUACGAAUUUUGUGAAAUAGUUACGCCUGUUAGAAAAUUAUGAAAAUUUCUAUGUAUACAAUAUUAACGCUAAGUUAUUGUAUAUGUAAUUUCAUGAAUUUAUAAAAUGGUUUAGAUAGGUCGGAAUUAAUUUAUAAUUAAGUCCUGUCAAUGAAAAUCAUAAACAGGAAAUUGGGAAGUUGGCGAAUUUUGAAAAGAGUUAGCCAACUUAAAAUAUAUGAUUGAAUUUUUUGUAACUGUACGUAAAUAAAUGUGGCUAGUCUAUAUGUAUUAAAGUCGGAGUUCAAAUUAAAAUAUGAUGAAUUUUAUAGAAAUUAAAUUCCAAAUGGUGUUUUUUAAAAAAUUUUAAACUGUUUGCAAAAGAAAAUUAGAUUUGUUAAACUUUUGUUAAAAUUUUAAAAUUGUGUAAAAAUGUUACUAUAUUAAUCGGGGUCGCAAGGAGAAUUUAAAUCUGACGUUCGAAUAUUAAACGUAGGACCGAAUUCCAGGAACGUUAGUUCAGAACGUUAGAUUGCGGGGUAGAAAAGAUUGAGCAUAUUUCCGGUGAGUAUUGUUAUGUAUUACAUAGAUAAAAGUGACUGUUUUAAUUGUGAAAGAUGGCUUGUGUUAAAACUGACAUGUUUUAUGGUUAAAGAUGCUUGUUUUGAUAUACCCUGACAUUAUGAAAAUGAUAUUGUUGAAAUGUAUGUUAAGUCGACACAUAGUUCAUACAGAUGACCCGGCGCUGGGGGGAGAAUAUAGGUGGUGAUGUAAAAGAGAUCAUGACCAGAUGAUUGUGGUGAAUUCAUACAAAAAGGUUUAGGGUCGCUCCCUAUGUUUGUGUCGUGAACGGUUUAGGUGUGUCGCAAAUGUCAAUCGUAAAUGAAUGUAAAACUUGAGUAUAGUUGGCGUACCUGAGCCAUGAGUCCCGAGGAGGGAUGAUUUUUUAUUAAAAUUGUAUCUUGACUGAUAGUCAAGGGAUGGCCUAGGUGCGUCAUGGAUUGACAAAAAAAGUGAUUUAAUUCUAUGUUGUAAAUGAAACAUGAUUUUUAAUAUAUUUUCAUGGGUGCAUGUAGUUUUAUAUCACAUAACUCAAAAUAAGCCUAGUGCUUAAGACGUUCGACGUAAAAUCAUUUCAGGGUAUGAAAAUGCGGAGGACGCGACUGAGGGCAGGGACCCUAGGUACCGGUGUUUGAUAGUCUGUAUGUCCGGAUAGUAUAGGAACUUUAGUUUUGAACCUCUGUAAGUUGGGAACUUGUAUAGUUAAACUGCUACAAGUAGUAGUUGACGGUUGUGCCUGUUUGUGGCCAGAACCGGUGGUUUUAUAUCGAAACAUGACGAUAGUUGUAUAUAUGACACGCCAGCUAUAUUUUUAUUGGAUGCUUCCGAUGUAUUCAUUCAAGCCAAUGUAUGUUGAUGAGUUAGUAAAUCCCUAAAUGAAUGGUUGAAAGGCCUUAGUGGAUGGGAUUUCACUGGCCGGUCAGUGGCACCUGUAUUUAUUGGUGGGGACCGGUAUAAGGGUCGGGUCGUGACAUUGGAAUACUUAUAAGGGAGUUCAUUCUGGAAGAAGCCUAUGGGAUAUAGUCGACCAACAGGGAGAGGUAUCUGAAGAUUAUGGUCCCAAUUUUCACCUUAUUUCCUCCGGCGUUUCUAAAAUCUGAAGUGAAAUAGUAAUUUCAGGUGAAUUGGUUUGACGGGUUGAAGACUGGUUGGACAUGAAAAUCUGAGAAGUGGGAUCCAAAGUUGCCGAGAUGCUGCUUCAAAAGCACUUAACGUGGUCUAUUGUACUUCGAUGCGUUGAUCCUAUGCUUCAAAAGACCUAAAAUGGGACAUGUGAUCACUGAUCGAGCAGAUGAUUUGUCUAGUCGUAAGUAGCCACCAUUCAUCUUCAAGAAUUGUAUUUUCAAACUUCAAAAGUUUUUGAUUGCUGAAAUUAUACCAACUCUCGUUUCUGUGAAUUUUUAUAGGAAGAUGAAUGUUAAGAGGAUCUUCCCGUCCCAAAUGAUUUAAAGAAAGAGAAUCCUUGCUGUUUCAAAAGCAGGUGAUAAGCAGUUUGGUAAAAAAUGUUUGCUACAAGUGAGUGGAUGCUAAUAGGAUACACGACCAGCUUACUAGUUGGAGAUAAAUAACGGUACUGUGAAUAGCUGUUCAAGUGUAUUUUUCACGGAUAUGUAAAUCUCUUUUUUCUUACACCUAAUUUUCAUGAUGUUCAAUUCGUCUACUAUUUGAUAAUCUUUAUUUGCGAUAGUUAAACAAUUCAAGCAUCAAUUACACAAAUUUAUGUUAUUUGUUGAUAAUUUUUCCUUAGUUAUGAAACAAGAUUCAUGUUGGAUAUCGGGCCAGGUCACCCACGGUGGUAUGACCCAUGACAUAUAAUUUGGAUAAGGAUGGAUAGUUAUUGGUGGUUACUUGACCAAUUCUAUAUAUGGCGCAGAGAAGCAGAUUCAUUCUGGAUUCUUACAUCAUGUUCUAAUCGAUUACUUCUUUAGGGCGUUUUGUAAAUUGAGCAGGUUUCAAUGAUUCUAUAAAAAAGUUUAAAGAUCUACACAAGAAGUUGAAUCCUUUUUGUUGUACCUUUGCGACUACAAAUAUGGGGUCUGCAAUGCCGCAAUGGAUCUGGUUCAGCUUAAAAUCAUGUUGUUGCUGAAAGUUAAAAUGUUAAAAAAUCUGUUGACUUAUUAAUUAUUUCUUGAUAAGUCCUGUUUGUAGCUGCUCAGUUAACAUAUUCACUUGCAGGGUGGAGGGCCCAAAACUAUUCAAUCUCAACUGCUUUGUGCCACAAGCAAAUUCUGCAUAUUAAAUUCAGCAACCAUAUUUAUCCGGGAGAAGCUGAAGAUCUUUUUGUUCUUUCUAUGUUGGAGUUGUAGAAGCUUAAGUUUUCUAUACAUGUUUAAGAAUACUGCAUACUGACUGAUUUCCAGUAUGUGUUCAGACUAUGCAGGACAUGAUGCUUUGUGUGGCUUCAGAUGCUUGCCACGUCAUACCAAUUGGUUUAAUUUUUGUUUUUAAGUCCCGCCUCUUAUUUUUUUCUUGAUUGGUCCGAGGUUAUUGAUUUCUAUAUAUAACUGUUUGCGUGUAGGAUUGGGGAGGGUUAUGGCAUGCCAAACUGUAGAGCAGUUUCUCAGAGGAACAGUAUCUGCAAAGUCUUCAUGCCCAUGGGAAACAUUGUAAUAUUGCAUUGCUUUUAUUCCCAUUUCGUGUUCUUGCUUAAUCUUCAACUAGUCUUUAGGAAAGAAUUUAGUGCUCACUAUCGGACAUGGAUGGUAAAAAUACUGCGAAUCAUAAUUGAGGCAUAGUAUCUGCAAUAUUCUGUCUGUCUUAUUGUUCUUUCCUUCUUUUUUGCUGGGGCCUGGUCUAUCAACCAGAUAGUGGCUUUAAGAAUCUGUAAAAUUUCACAAGGUUCCGUAUUAUUUGUCAUUAAAAUGUCCGGCAAUUGUUAUGUUUCUUUAGUAUAGAAUAUUUGUGUCAAUGAAAAAUUUAUAUAUAUUCAGUUGUUCAAUUUAUGUUGAGGAGAGUCAGACUUGGAAAAUCCCAAUCCUGUUUCUUUUCUUCUUUCGUGUUCACUUACGAGCAAAAUGAUUAACCUAACAGAGCUUCUUUCAUUUGAACAGAACCGUGAUGGAUUUGUUUAUGGGCAAAGAGCUGGAGUUUUCUUAUCUGGAAGACCUAGAACAGGUUAAGGUUAUAUCAAAGUGAUUUCAUCAAACUCCUAUAGCAGAAAUUUAAUCUCUAUUCUAAUUUCUGUCUACUUUUCCCAGAAAAGAGGUUGCAAAUAUCUAUGCAGAAUUUCUGGGGGGAAGGCUUCACAUUGAUGCUUACCACAUGGACAGAGCCUUUAUCCUGAAGGAAUGUGCAAAAUCUAUGUGUAGUGAUAAUAUACAAAAAAAAAAAAAAUUCCACUUGCAUUUGACCUCAGAGAAUCUUACAGAUGAAUGAGGGAUAUAAAGUCGUUCUUAAGUUGUUUCCAUUUGUUUUGUCAAACGUACGAAUUUUUUUUUAUUUUUUGUACCUUUUAUGUAUCUUAUUCUUUGAGGAAGAGGGGCAAGGGAGGGUAAUUAAUCUAGGUAUUAGGUUUGGGUGUAUAUUACGAAUAGAUAGAUUUUUCAUAGCUGGUAUGGAUUUUGGUCUGAAUCAAUCAUUAUAGUGUUGGAUUUCAUUUCCGAACAUAUUCAUUGCCUAGGCAAGGCAAAUGCUAGGAUUGAUGUGCAGGUUGUUAAAUCAUAUAUGACCACAGUCCAUUUAAUUGUUAACUCAUUCCCUACUUAGUGACUUGCUUACUUCUUUUCUAAUUUCAUUAUGGGCACAGUAUGUUAGAGAAGUGGCAUUCAAGACUCCACACCUUAAUGGCAGCACUGCCGAAUGCACCCGGAAAUUUUCAGAGGGAAAUACAUUCUUAUUAUUUGGUCAGCAUCAAUUUAUGGGUAAAAAGAAAAACUGAGAGUACGGGGAGAUGAGUUAUUAGCAUUUAUGACUGAACAAACUGUUGUCUAUGACAUCGGUUCAAGCCACUGUCGGCAGGUGAGAAACCACGCCACGAUCGUAGGACCUUGCUCUCCGUCCAUCUAAAAAAAGCCACCAUCGACCGGUUUUAACUCUCGGGUUCUUGCAUGUGAUAAAUAUAAAUUUCUGAAAUGGAUUUUAAAAAAUGGGUUUCGAAAAAUCCCCUCUUUGAUUUUUUAAUUGGUUUUUGAAAUGGGAUUGAUUCAAACAUCCACCACACGAUUUCAAGAAAAACCCAUAGAAAUUUUCUGAAAUGGGUUCACCAAUUUCCCAUCUUCGAUUUUUUAAAAUGGGUCUCUAAAAUGGGUUUCUGAAAGGAAUUAGUAAGACAAAUCUGAUAGAGGUUUGAGUCGGGGUAUGCGGAAAGGGCUAAACUUAAGGUUAUGAGAUUUGGGGCCCAACCCAUACUCAACUUGUUGCAAUCCCUAGCCAAGCACAGUCGAACAAAUUUUCUAAAGAAGAACUUGCCAGAUCUCAGUGGUAAUGAAUGCAUAAGUCUAAGCUAAACUGUCACUGAUCUAUUUAAAAGCUCCCUUAAGGGCAACCAUGCAAUGCUCCUAGUUACCUUUAAUCCUUCAUACAUGUAUAAAAUUUAAUGUUGGGGUAGGAAUAGUUAAGCGUUUAAAUCAGGACAACAUAGAAGUGAUUAUAGCACAACAUGGGUAGUGCUUAAAAAAUGGAAUAAAUUAGAUGAGUCUUUGUGCACUUUCACUUGCAUCAUAUACAAACAUCAUAUGGAAAUGCUCACCAACAAAAGUCUACGAAUAGAUGCAGUUCCUAUAUACAUGUUCACUUUCCUCAAUUAUGCAAGGUCUCUGGAAUGGAAACUACAACAAGGUUGCAUAACAAACAAGGUACUUUUUUCUUCUUUUCUUGUUUCAAGCUAUUGCUAAAACAAUAGUUACUUGAGUGCAGAUUUGAUUCCCUUUUGAUUCAUGUUCUAAAGCUUAUUAAAAUUAAAAUAUGCGCAGCGCCCAACAAUCUUUUAGUUAAGGCCCUAGAAUGGACACUAUGGUCCAGGUCAACACCUGAACAGAUUAAAAACAAUCAAGACAAAACUUUGCUUUAGGAUGCUAAUUAUAACUAUAUUCUGUGCAAUGUGUUACAUUAAGAAUAUUCUUGAUUAAAUUAUAGCUUAUAGGGCCCUCAUAUUUUUAAUCCGGUUGUGGAAGAUUUUACAAUCAAUGUUUUUCAAUGUAAUAACAUCACGUCCUUUCUGCGUUUGGCGUCGAAGCAGAUUCAAUCAUUUUGAUUUGAUCAAGUUCCAGCGUUGUAAAAUUACAAACAGAGAGCCAAAAUUUUGAUUUUGGGCCAAAACAUAAAUACUAAAACGCUCUCUACCAGUUGGUUCAUUAUUGUCCCUUUCCUUGACGAAUGAAAGCAUAUAUUCUACACGAGCUACUGAGUUUAGGAUCUUCUUUCAAUAAAGGAUUCAAAUUUAGCUUAUCGGACCCCAGCUCGAUUUGGCCUAAUCAGGUUGACAUGAUGUGUCUAUGUGUGUACCAAUGGAGCAAUUAGAUGACAGAUUUGGCAUUAUUCUGUAUCUAAUAAUAACAAUUCUCAGGUGAUGUCAUUUCGUGCGGUGCUAAACGACGGUUACACAAAUGCUUUUCGAUGUCAUUAUUCAGUUUGGAAGCUUUAUUUAAUUUUUCAGGUUUCUAGUACAUAAAAUGUGUACGGUUAAUGUCUUAACGCUAUAAGGCUAUAUGUAAUAACUAUUAUAUACAAUCAAUAAUUGCUUAUGUGACCAGAACAGAGUUGAUUCUUUGCCUGCAUUUUUUUGUUUUUGAAAGUAUUUGCUAGGAACAGAUAUGCUUGUUUGAUUUCUAUAUUAUUAGCCUCUCCUGUGCUAUCACAUUUUAAACAAAGGAACCAAUUUCUAGCAGCUUGAAAAAGUUGUGUUCCUGUAAAGUAAUUCAUUAGAACCUAGAUAUUUUGCAUUGUAACGAUUGUAGAAAACCGAAGUAUUAUUUUUUUUGCAGCAAUAAUUUUUUUUGGUGUGAAACGUUCAAACUUUUCAUAAACGAAGUAAAGUAAUAUUUAUUUUCUUAAUUUAACAUAAUUUUAUUCGACUUUACUUUUAAGCAAUCAACUUUUACUAGCAUUUACUUUGGGAAUUUGAGCAGUUACUUUUCUUUAAACCACACCAAGCCUUGUUCAGGUAAAUUAGAUUAUUUUUAUCGUGAUUUUUUUCAUCCUUUUGGUCAAUUUUUUUUGUACUUUUUCGAUUCCAUCUCGAUUAGAGGAAUUGGAAAGUUAAUUUUUUUUUUUAAAAACAACUAAAACCCAAAAUUAUCUUAAACUAAAAUAAAUGAGUAACAGGUUUACUUUACUUGUGUUUAUUUUCUGCUACUGUGAAUAUGCAAUAGUUUUCUGCUUGCAAAACGUUUUCAGUUGAACAUUGUUUGGAGCCUCAUCUGAUUUUUUAGAAAUACUUUGUGUUAAGAUUGUUGAGAUCAUGAUGAGGAAAGGGGAGGAAGUAAUUUGAGGGGUGGUUGCUUAUUGAACGAGACACACAGACAUGGGCGAUUUAUAUUCGUUAUGCCAUCUAACCAAUAUCAUGAUUUAGGUGUUAAGUCCUGCAAAAAAGGUCAAGAGGUGCCUUCUUCAUGUACUUGUAGCACCUUCUGUUUAGGUUAAUUUGGACAUUGAAAUGAUCUUCUUCUUUAAAGCAAUCUUGGCUUUAGAUUAUUCUAUAUCAAAUUAUUAAAAAGUUUAUCUUGCUGCAAUUUGGUGUGAUGCAUAGCAUGCUAACAUGAGUCUAUUUCUUCCUAAACACUGUAGAUUAUUCAAUCAUUAGAUCUAUCAUAUCAUGAAUUUUGUUCAGUCUCAUGAUUAAGCAAGGGUUAUUUAUUCCAAGUGUUGUUAUAUUAUAAAAAUUGGCUGCCUUCCCUUGACCCCUAUGUUUGGGUUAAAUUGAAAAUAAAUCCAUCAAUCCAUUUGGCAGCAAAUCUGGAGUUCUUGUCAUCCGAAUUUUAAUGUUGAGCAGUAUACAUCUUCUGUAUAUAAUGUUGGGGGUCCUCAAAUUUUAAUACUAUCUGUAUAUAUUAGACUUUCAGUUUUUUGAGGUGUCAUACAAAAUUUCACUCUCUUGCAGUUAUGUAUUGUUCUUUCCUGUUCUAUGUAUCAUAUAUGAUUUGUAGGUAGUGGUAGUUUUUGAAUUUGUUCUGUGUAUUUAUUUGAUUGUGGCAUGGGUGUAUAUCGACUGUUUUAAUGCUACGAGACUGGUUGGAAGCCUUCCUUUAUGGAGGUCAGGGUGCAUUCAAUAAAUUAAAUAGGGAUUACUUGCUUAGUCUGAGUUUAUGUUAAUUGCUUUUAAAUGCUACACUGUGUAGGAUGUCUUACUCAUGCACAAGUUGUCAACCCAGUUCAAAAUGAUGAGGUCGGGCUUUUCAUUGCAAACAAACUGGAAAAAGCUUAAAUUAUUCAUCUUUAGUGGAGGGGCUGCUUGCCAUUGUUUGCUUCUUUUAUUUGUUUGCCCUAGAAUAUUUCCAAUUAAAAUGUUUCCCUUAAUUUAUAAUGCAAGAUGGCUGCUAGGUUUAUAUCUUGCAAAAUUAAAAUAGGAUCUAAUUACAUUAUCUGUUUUUCUUUUCACAGAUUCCCCCCCUCCCUUCGUUUAUCCCUCAAUAUUACACGUACUAUGGGGCACACAAUUUAGAAGUUUGAUUUGAACAAAGAACGACCAGUGAGGGCACUGUGUAAUGGUAAGAAAUCACAUGAAGAAUAGCUACAAGUUUGUGGGGAAAGGGAAAGCGCUCAGUUAUUUGAUCUUCGAUUUAUACAACUCUUCAUUUCACUCUUUGAUCCUAUUCAAAACCUUCUUUAUUGAUUACUCAUUUAAUUUCUUGAUUUCUCAUACAAUGUAUAGAUUGGGCUAAAGAGGGGCGGAGGUGAAGCACUACCUAUUUGUUCGCGGCCUGAAUAUUUUUUGCAAUCUCCACCCAUUAACUAUUGAGGUGGUACGUAACAAUUGUUUUAAAUUUUGUGUAUUUAUCUUGGGCUGUAAUUAACUUGAACGUGAAGUUUCCCGGGUUCAAUUUCAAUUUCAACUUAAUUCGGUAUUAUUAGUCAAUGUCUUAUGUUGUACUUUGUCUAUUUCAAAUUAUGUUGAUUUGAAUUUUUGAGUAAUGAGUAGCUAAUGUUUUGUAUUUAUUUUGUUUUGCGAGAACUAAUGAUAUUGACUAAGUACUCUCAAAUACAUAUCUCCACAUCUUUAAAUAUUGAGGUACGUAACAAUUAUUUUAAAUUUUGUAUAUUUAUCUUGGGUCGUAAUUAACUUGAGGUCGAAAUUCCCCGGGUUCAAUUUCAAGAUCAAGUUAUUAGGUAUUAUUAGACAAUGACUUAUGUCGUAAUUUGUCUAUUUCAAAUUAUACUGAUUUAAAUUUUUGAGUAAUAAGUAAUGACUGUUUUGCAUUUAUUUUGUUUUUCCAGGACUAAUGCUACUUACUAUAAGUACUCUCUAAUACAUAUCUCCACACCUUUAAAUAUUGAGGUACGUAACAAUUAUUUUAAAUUUUGUAUAUUUUUCUUGUGCCGUAAUUAACUUGAGCUUAAACUUCCCCAGUUUCAAUUUCAAGCUCAAAUUAAUUAAGUAUUAUUAGACAACGUCUUAUGUUUGUUUAUUUCAAAUUAUGAUGAUUUGAAUUUUUAAGAAAUAAGUAGUGACUAUUUUGCAUUUGUUUUUUUUGCAAGGACUAAUGCUAUUGACUAGAUACUCUCAAAUACAUAUCUUCACACUUUUAAAUAUUGAGGUACGUAAUAAUUAUUUUAAAUUUUGUAUAUUUAUUUUGGGUCUUAAUUAACUUGAGUUCGAAGUUCUCCGGGUUCAAUUUCAAGCUCAAGUUAAUUAGGUAUUAUUAGACAAUGUCUUAUGUUGUAGUUUGUCUGUUUCAAAUUAUGUUAAUUUGAAUUAUUCAGGAAAAAGUAGUGACUGUUUUGCAUUUGUUUUGUGUUGCGAAGACUAAUGCUAUUGACUAGGUACUCUCAAAUACAUAUCUCCACACCUUUAAUUAUUAAGGUACAUACCAAUUGUUUUAAAUUUUGUAUAUUUAUUUUGGGUCAUAAUUAACUUGAGCUCAAAGUUCUACGGGUUUAAUUUCAAGUUUAAGUUAAUUAGGUAUUAUUAGUCAACGUCUUAUGUUUGUUAUUUCAAAUUAUGGUCAUUUAAAUUUUUGUGGAAUAAGUAGUGACUGUUUUGCAUAUGAUUUUUGCGAGGACUAAUGCUAUUGACUAGGUGCUCUCAAAUAUAUAUCUCCACACAUUUACAUAUUGAGGUACGUAACAAUUGUUUUAAAUUUUGUAUAUUUAUUUUGGGUCGUAAUUAACUCGAGCUCGAAAUUUUUCGGGUUUAUUUUCAAGUUCAAGUUAAUUAGGCAUUUUUACACAAUGUCUUAUAUUGUACUUUGUCUAUUUUAAGUUAUGCUAAUUCGAAUUAUUGAGGAAAAAGUAGUGACUGUUUUUUAUAUUUUUUGUUUUGUGAGGACUAAUGCUAUUGACUAGGUACUCUCAAAUCCAUAUCUCUACACCUUUAAGGUUUGAGGUACGUAACAAUUGUUUUAAAUUUUUUAUAUUUAUUUUGGGUAGUAAUUAACUUGAGCUCGAAGUUCCCCAGGUUUAAUUUCAAGUUUAAGUUAAUUAGGUAUUAUUAGUCAACGUCUUAUGUUUGUUUAUUUCAAAUUAUGGUGAUUUGAAUUUUUAAGGAAUAAGUAACGAUUGUUUUGCAUUUAUUGUUUUGCGAUGACUAAUGCUAUUGACUAGGUACUCUCAAAUACAUAUCUCCACACCUUUAAAUUUUGAGGUACGUAACAAUUGUUUUGAAUUUUUUAUAUUUAUUUUGGGUAGUAAUUAACUUGAGCUCGAAGUUCCCUGGGUUUAAUUUCCAGCUUAAGUUAAUUAGGUAUUAUUAGUCAACGUCUUAUGUUUCUUUAUUUCAAAUUAUGGUGAUUUGAAUUUUUUUUGAGCAAUAAGUUGUGACUGUUUUGCAUUGUCUUAUUUUGCGAGGAGUAAUACUGUUGACUAUAUACUCUCAAAUAUAUAUCUGCACACCUUUAAAUAUUAAGGUACGUAACUAUUGUUUUAAAUUUUGUAUAUUUAUUUUGGGUCUUAAUAACUAGAGCUCAGAAGUUCGGGGAAGGUGAAUGGAGUGGGGAGGUCAGACAGAGAGGUGUGGAAUUGCGAGAAGAGAAAUAGGGGGGGGAAACGGAGUGCGGGUAGAGUUUAAGCUGGGCACUCCGGUUCAGUUUCAAGUCUCAAUUUAAUUAGGUAUAUUUAGAUAAUGUCUUAUGUUGUACUUUAUCUAUUUUAAAUUAUGCUAAUAUGAAUUAUUGAGGAAAAAAGUAGUGACUGUUUUGCAUUUUUUUUGUUUUGCGGGGACUAUGCUAUUGACUAGGUACUCUCAAAUACAUAUCUCCACACCUUUAAAUAUUGAGGUAUGUAAUAAUUGAUUUGAAAAAAAAAAAAUUUUUUUUUUUUUUUUUUUAAUAUUUAUUUUAAGGUCCGUAAUUAACUUGAGCUUGAUGUUCCCCAGGUUCAAUUUCAAGCUCAGUUAAUUACGUAUUAUUAGUCAACGUCUUAUGUUUGUUUAUAUCAAAUUAUGGUGAUUUGAAUUUUUGAGCAAUAAGUUAUGACUGUUUUGCAUUGUCUUAUUUUGCGAGGAGUAAUACUGUUGACUAUAUACUCUCAAAUACAUAUCUCCACACCUUUAAAUAUUAGGUACGUACCUAUUGUUUUAAAUUUUGUAUAUUUAUUUUGGGUCAUAAUUAACUUGAGCUCAAAGUUCUACGGGUUUAAUUUCAAGUUUAAGUUAAUUAGGUAUUAUUAGUCAACAUCUUAUGUUUGUUUAUUUCAAAUUAUGGUCAUUUAAAUUUUUGUGGAAUAAGUAGUGACUGUUUUGCAUUUGAUUUUUUGCGAGGACUAAUGCUAUUGACUAGGUGCUCUCAAAUAUAUAUCUCCACACAUUUACAUAUUGAGGUACGUAACAAUUGUUUUAAAUUUUGUAUAUUUAUUUUGGGUCGUAAUUAACUCGAGCUCGAAAUUUUUCGGGUUUAUUUUCAAGUUCAAGUUAAUUAGGCAUUUUUACACAAUGUCUUAUAUUGUACUUUGUCUAUUUUAAGUUAUGCUAAUUCGAAUUAUUGAGGAAAAAAGUAGUGACUGUUUUGCAUUUGUUUUGUGUUGCGAAGACUAAUGCUAUUGACUAGGUACUCUCAAAUCCAUAUCUCUACACCUUUAAGUUUGAGGUACGUAACAAUUGUUUUAAAUUUUGUAUAUUAUUUUGGGUAGUAAUUAACUUGAGCUCGAAGUUCCCCAGGGUUAAUUCAAGUUUAAGUAAUUAGGUAUUAUUAGUCAACGUCUUAUGUUUGUUUAUUUCAAAUUAUGGUGAUUUGAAUUUUUAAGGAAUAAGUAACGAUUGUUUUGCAUUUAUUGUUUUGCGAUGACUAAUGCUAUUGACUAGGUACUCUCAAAUACAUAUCUCCACACCUUUAAAUUUUGAGGUACGUAACAAUUGUUUUGAAUUUUUUAUAUUUAUUUUGGGUAGUAAUUAACUUGAGCUCGAAGUUCCCUGGGUUUAGUUCUUCCCGCUGUAUAGUUGUAAUUUAGGUAUAUUAGUCAACGUCUUAUGUUUCUUUAUUUCAAAUUAUGGUGAUUUGAAUUUUUGAGCAAUAAGUUGUGACUGUUUUGCAAGGAGUAAAGUUAUUGACUAUAUACUCUCAAAUAUAUAUCUGCACACCUUUAAAUAUUAAGGUACGUAACUAUUGUUUUAAAUUUUGUAUAUUUAUUUUGGGUCUUAAUUAACUAGAGCUCGAAGUUUCCCGGGUUCAGUUUCAAGCUCAAGUUAAUUAGGUAUAUUUAGAUAAUGUCUUAUGUUGUACUUUGUCUAUUUUAAAUUAUGCUAAUAUGAAUUAUUGAGGAAAAAAGUAGUGACUGUUUUGCAUUUUUUUUGUUUUGCGGGGACUAAUGCUAUUGACUAGGUACUCUCAAAUACAUAUCUCCACACCUUUAAAUAUUGAGGUAUGUAACAAUUGAUUUGAAUUUUGUAUAUUUAUUUUAGGUCGUAGUUAACUUGAGCUUGAUGUUCCCCAGGUUCAAUUUCAAGCUCAGUUAAUUACGUAUUAUUAGUCAACGUCUUAUGUUUGUUUAUAUCAAAUUAUGGUGAUUUGAAUUUUUGAGCAAUAAGUUAUGACUGUUUUGCAUUGUCUUAUUUUGCGAGGAGUAAUACUGUUGACUAUAUACUCUCAAAUACAUAUCUGCACACCUUUAAAUAUUAAGGUACGUAACUAUUGUUUUAAAUUUUGUAUAUUUAUUUUGGGUCUUAAUUAACUAGAGCUCGAAGUUUCCCGGAUUCAGUUUCAAGCUCAAGUUAAUUAGGUAUUUUUAGAUAAUGUCUUAUGUUGUAGUUUGUCUAUUUUAAAUUAUGCUAAUAUGAAUUAUUGAGAAAAAAGUAGUGACUGUUUUGCAUUUUUUUUGUUUUGCGAGAACUAAUACUAUUGAUUAGGUACUCUCAAAUACAUAUCUCCACACCUUUAAAUUUUGAGGUAAGUAACA